rnacentral:rRNA from 1 species
GGGUUGUGAGGUUAAGCGACUAAGCGUACACGGUGGAUGCCCUGGCAGUCAGAGGCGAUGAAGGACGUGCUAAUCUGCGAUAAGCGUCGGUAAGGUGAUAUGAACCGUUAUAACCGGCGAUUUCCGAAUGGGGAAACCCAGUGUGAUUCGUCACACUAUCAUUAACUGAAUCCAUAGGUUAAUGAGGCGAACCGGGGGAACUGAAACAUCUAAGUACCCCGAGGAAAAGAAAUCAACCGAGAUUCCCCCAGUAGCGGCGAGCGAACGGGGAGCAGCCCAGAGCCUGAAUCAGUGUGUGUGUUAGUGGAAGCGUCUGGAAAGGCGCGCGAUACAGGGUGACAGCCCCGUACACAAAAAUGCACAUGCUGUGAGCUCGAUGAGUAGGGCGGGACACGUGGUAUCCUGUCUGAAUAUGGGGGGACCAUCCUCCAAGGCUAAAUACUCCUGACUGACCGAUAGUGAACCAGUACCGUGAGGGAAAGGCGAAAAGAACCCCGGCGAGGGGAGUGAAAAAGAACCUGAAACCGUGUACGUACAAGCAGUGGGAGCACGCUUAGGCGUGUGACUGCGUACCUUUUGUAUAAUGGGUCAGCGACUUAUAUUCUGUAGCAAGGUUAACCGAAUAGGGGAGCCGAAGGGAAACCGAGUCUUAACUGGGCGUUAAGUUGCAGGGUAUAGACCCGAAACCCGGUGAUCUAGCCAUGGGCAGGUUGAAGGUUGGGUAACACUAACUGGAGGACCGAACCGACUAAUGUUGAAAAAUUAGCGGAUGACUUGUGGCUGGGGGUGAAAGGCCAAUCAAACCGGGAGAUAGCUGGUUCUCCCCGAAAGCUAUUUAGGUAGCGCCUCGUGAAUUCAUCUCCGGGGGUAGAGCACUGUUUCGGCAAGGGGGUCAUCCCGACUUACCAACCCGAUGCAAACUGCGAAUACCGGAGAAUGUUAUCACGGGAGACACACGGCGGGUGCUAACGUCCGUCGUGAAGAGGGAAACAACCCAGACCGCCAGCUAAGGUCCCAAAGUCAUGGUUAAGUGGGAAACGAUGUGGGAAGGCCCAGACAGCCAGGAUGUUGGCUUAGAAGCAGCCAUCAUUUAAAGAAAGCGUAAUAGCUCACUGGUCGAGUCGGCCUGCGCGGAAGAUGUAACGGGGCUAAACCAUGCACCGAAGCUGCGGCAGCGACGCUUAUGCGUUGUUGGGUAGGGGAGCGUUCUGUAAGCCUGUGAAGGUGUACUGUGAGGUAUGCUGGAGGUAUCAGAAGUGCGAAUGCUGACAUAAGUAACGAUAAAGCGGGUGAAAAGCCCGCUCGCCGGAAGACCAAGGGUUCCUGUCCAACGUUAAUCGGGGCAGGGUGAGUCGACCCCUAAGGCGAGGCCGAAAGGCGUAGUCGAUGGGAAACAGGUUAAUAUUCCUGUACUUGGUGUUACUGCGAAGGGGGGACGGAGAAGGCUAUGUUGGCCGGGCGACGGUUGUCCCGGUUUAAGCGUGUAGGCUGGUUUUCCAGGCAAAUCCGGAAAAUCAAGGCUGAGGCGUGAUGACGAGGCACUACGGUGCUGAAGCAACAAAUGCCCUGCUUCCAGGAAAAGCCUCUAAGCAUCAGGUAACAUCAAAUCGUACCCCAAACCGACACAGGUGGUCAGGUAGAGAAUACCAAGGCGCUUGAGAGAACUCGGGUGAAGGAACUAGGCAAAAUGGUGCCGUAACUUCGGGAGAAGGCACGCUGAUAUGUAGGUGAAGCGACUUGCUCGUGGAGCUGAAAUCAGUCGAAGAUACCAGCUGGCUGCAACUGUUUAUUAAAAACACAGCACUGUGCAAACACGAAAGUGGACGUAUACGGUGUGACGCCUGCCCGGUGCCGGAAGGUUAAUUGAUGGGGUCAGCGCAAGCGAAGCUCUUGAUCGAAGCCCCGGUAAACGGCGGCCGUAACUAUAACGGUCCUAAGGUAGCGAAAUUCCUUGUCGGGUAAGUUCCGACCUGCACGAAUGGCGUAAUGAUGGCCAGGCUGUCUCCACCCGAGACUCAGUGAAAUUGAACUCGCUGUGAAGAUGCAGUGUACCCGCGGCAAGACGGAAAGACCCCGUGAACCUUUACUAUAGCUUGACACUGAACAUUGAGCCUUGAUGUGUAGGAUAGGUGGGAGGCUUUGAAGUGUGGACGACAGUCUGCAUGGAGCCGACCUUGAAAUACCACCCUUUAAUGUUUGAUGUUCUAACGUGGACCCGUAAUCCGGGUUGCGGACAGUGUCUGGUGGGUAGUUUGACUGGGGCGGUCUCCUCCUAAAGAGUAACGGAGGAGCACGAAGGUUGGCUAAUCCUGGUCGGACAUCAGGAGGUUAGUGCAAUGGCAUAAGCCAGCUUGACUGCGAGCGUGACGGCGCGAGCAGGUGCGAAAGCAGGUCAUAGUGAUCCGGUGGUUCUGAAUGGAAGGGCCAUCGCUCAACGGAUAAAAGGUACUCCGGGGAUAACAGGCUGAUACCGCCCAAGAGUUCAUAUCGACGGCGGUGUUUGGCACCUCGAUGUCGGCUCAUCACAUCCUGGGGCUGAAGUAGGUCCCAAGGGUAUGGCUGUUCGCCAUUUAAAGUGGUACGCGAGCUGGGUUUAGAACGUCGUGAGACAGUUCGGUCCCUAUCUGCCGUGGGCGCUGGAGAACUGAGGGGGGCUGCUCCUAGUACGAGAGGACCGGAGUGGACGCAUCACUGGUGUUCGGGUUGUCAUGCCAAUGGCACUGCCCGGUAGCUAAAUGCGGAAGAGAUAAGUGCUGAAAGCAUCUAAGCACGAAACUUGCCCCGAGAUGAGUUCUCCCUGACUCCUUGAGAGUCCUGAAGGAACGUUGAAGACGACGACGUUGAUAGGCCGGGUGUGUAAGCGCAGCGAUGCGUUGAGCUAACCGGUACUAAUGAACCGUGAGGCUUAACCUUACAACGCCGAAGCUGUU